CAGCCGCCACGGUAAUACGUAGGUGGCAAGCGUUGUCCGGAAUUAUUGGGCGUAAAGGGCUCGCAGGCGGUCUCUUAAGUCUGAUGUGAAAGCCCCCGGCUCAACCGGGGAGGGUCAUUGGAAACUGGGAAACUUGAGUGCAGAAGAGGAGAGUGGAAUUUCACGUGUAGCGGUGAAAUGCGUAGAGAUGUGGAGGAACACCAGUGGCGAAGGCGACUCUCUGGUCUGUAACUGACGCUGAGGAGCGAAAGCGUGGGGAGCGAACAGGAUUAGAUACCCGUGUAGUCCCUGUCUCUUAUAA
rnacentral:rRNA from 1 species